rnacentral:rRNA from 1 species
UACAGAGGCCUCGAGCGUUAGGCGGAAUCACUGGGCUUAAAGCGUGUGUAGGCGGACUUCUAAGUACCUUGUGAAAUCCCACAGCUUAACUGUGGAACUGCUUGGUAUACUGGUUGUCUUGAGGUACCUAGGGGCGAGCGGAACAAGUGGUGGAGCGGUGAAAUGCGUAGAUAUCACUUGGAACGCCAACGGUGAAAACAGCUCGCUGGAGGUAUCCUGACGCUGAGACACGAAAGCCAGGGGAGCAAACGGG